ACCGAAAUAGCUCAAUUGGGAGAGCGUUAUAAUCGAAAAGUCCCUGGUUCGAUCCCGGGUUCCGGAA
rnacentral:tRNA from 1 species